UGCCAGAACAUGUGUCAAUGGACA
rnacentral:piRNA from 1 species